CAGCCGCCGCGGGAAUACGCAGGUGGCAAGCGUUGUCCGGAAUUAUUGGGCGUAAAGCGCGCGCAGGUGGUUUAGUAAGUCUGAUGUGAAAGCCCACGGCUCAACCGUGGAGGGUCAUUGGAAACUGUUAAACUUGAGUGCAGGAGAGAGAAGUGGAAUUCCUAGUGUAGCGGUGAAAUGCGUAGAGAUUAGGAGGAACACCAGUGGCGAAGGCGGCUUUUUGGCCUGUAACUGACACUGAGGCGCGAAAGCGUGGGGAGCAAACAGGAUUAGAUACCCGCGUAGUCCCUGUCUCUUAUAC
rnacentral:rRNA from 1 species